rnacentral:lncRNA from 1 species
CACACACAGUUACAUCUCAUCUUCAACUAUCCGUCAACAAAAAAAAAAUCAAAUGUGCUUCACAUUUCUCAAACAGCAGAGAAAAAUAAAUACUUACUGUCUAGCCUCAUCAUUAUGAAGUUUGUGUGACUUGUUAUAAAUUUUGACAGGAAGCAAUUCCACAACUUCAUUAGGAGCGGGAACAGAUCCAAUUGAAGAUACAGAAGGUCGAGAAGAUAAAACCACAGACUGCUGGGGGAUUUCAUCCAGACCCUAGUUAAAAUGCAUAGAAAUUAACUCCAACAGAUAGGUGCAAAGAGAAAGAAGAACUACCCAGACUAAUAACAUAAGAAAUAAAAAUUACCUCAAAAAAAGCUUCAGCUAACAUAACGAUUCUGGAUAGACUAGCCCUAGCACUUGUCUCAUCAUUUGAAUUGGAAUCUCGAUUAUUUACACAUGUGAAACAAAUAAUGGCAAAACAGUUAAACACACCACACUCCAAAACAGAUAAUGGCAAAGAUUCAAAUGAUAGACCCGUAAUUCCAAACCAAAAGUUGUGUAAAAACAAUAAUGGCAAAGAUUCAAAUGAGAAGAAUCUUUAGGAGAAGAGAAACAAAUUUUAACUAAUGAAUCCCAGAAACACUUCCCCGAGGCCCAUAAUAAUUUCAUUAACCAACCUUAAUAAAAACCACUUAAACAGACAGACCCACAACAAUAGAUUUCAAACAAAGACUGAAACAGUGAGUUCUACAAUAGAAAGGUUAGGGAUUAUCCCUAACGAAAGUAGACAAUAAAACAACCAAAAAGAAACAGACAGACCGACAUCAAUAGAUUUCACACACAGAGCGAAAACAGGGGAUUUCAUUAUCACCAAAAAAAAAAAAAAAAAGAAAGAAACGGCAGACAAAAUCUUUGGGUUUCUCCCUCUCACGAAAAAGAAUGAGGGGAAAUAUUGAAAUGAGACAGAGAGAGAGAAAGAGAUAAUGGGAAGGAAGUGGGAUAUGAAAAGUCCGAAGAAAACCGUCACUGCCCAAAAAGAAUAGACUUUCUAAUUCCCCAUGUGGCAACGGUAACAUUUAUGGUAAUUAAUACCUUAAUUAAAUUACUAAUUUGGGGGGGGAUUUAAAGACAUAGAAGGUAAAGAGACGUUAGGGAAAAGGAGGGGGCAAUGGGAGAUAAUAAAUGAGAAAUAAAUAUGAAAAAUGCUUUCAUUCCCAAUUAACAGACAGAGAAGUAAAAGAAACGUUAGAAAAAAAAGGGAAAGGAAAGAAGAGACUUUACUUUGGUCAGACCAAAGACUACAAACCUGAACCAACGACACCCCAAACCCACACAGUUUAACACACCACACUUCAAAACAGAUGAUGGCAAAGAUUCAAAUGAUCGACCCGUAAUUCCAAACCAAAAGUUGUGUAAAAACGAUAAUGGAAAAGAUUCAAAUGAGAAGAAUCUUUAGGAGAAGAGAAAUAAGCAACUUUGAAACAAAGGCACAAAUUCUUACCUGGGAGUCGAUCUGAGCCAAAACCCAACAAACGAAGCGGUGGAGUUUUAUUGCCCGAGAUACAUCAGGAGGAGAGAGAUUGAAAUCAAGGUUAUUCAUAAAUCCUAAACCAAAACCUAAGAGAUCCCAAGCCCCAAACACUGAAACAAAAGCCCAAAAACACCAGCCCAACCCUAAACCCAAGCCCCAAGCCUCAAACCCCUAGACCCAAGCUGGGAUAUCCCAGGAAUGAGAUAUCCCAACCGGAUAACUACGGCAGGUAGCCCGGUCCAAACACGUUAAAAAUAUGAACCGGCAUCCAAAACUGCUGAACCGGGCACCAAAAAUAUUGAACCGAGACAGCAUAUGAAGGGAAUAAUAUUGGAAUAGCUUAUCCUGGUACGGGAUAUGACAGGGAUAUCCCUGAUUCAGAGUAAUAAUGAAAAUAAAUUCAGGGCUUAUCAAAGAAACCAAUUUUAUAAUAAGUACGAUAAAUUUUCUUUCAAAUUUAUAAAAAAAAAAAUCUUUUAAAAUUUAUUCAAUAAUAAUAAUAGAUAAUAAAUAUAAAUUCGUCAAGGAAUCCAUAAGCAACAUACUUAAAAGACGAAAAACACAUUCAAUUGAAUACAUAGAUGAUGUUGGACUAAUAUGCAAUUUAUGUACCAAAAUUUACUCCCAAAACGAAAAUAUUUAUCACAUAUCCAAAGUUCUAUUAAGAAUAAACCAUCACCUAGAAUACCAGGGAGACCCAAAUUCAUUAAAAUAUAUGCAUGUAUCUAAAUAGGACAAGAAUAUAAGAUGAAUGAUUUAAUCAAUAGUUAAGGUAGAAAAUUGAGAAAAAAAGACUUACCCAGAAGUACUACUGAAUUAGAUAGCAAUAUUUUCCAGAUAUGAAGAAGAAAAUUGCAUGGAAGCAGCUAAAAACCCUCGGUUUUAUUAAACUUCCAUUGUUAACCAAAUAGGAUUUUAAAUAUAAGGCUAGGUAACACAGAUGAAUAUAACUCUAUCUUUAACCAAAAUCUGAGUAUUUCACCACAUGGAUAUAUCAAUAAUCACACAAAACUUCCCAUUCAGCUGAUAUACAGAAAUACCAUGGGUCUACCUAAAGCUUCCAAUCAAAAUCCAUUUGCAAAUCUUACCCAACAGAACACGAACAAUCCCAACUAUUUUAAAGAAAAUAUACCCAAUCCUUACUGAUGAAUGCAACCACCUAGCAGUAUGAAAAAGAAAACAUAUAUGCAUACACGAAUCUUGACAAUCUCCAUCGUAUAUGAUCAUGAAACCCAAAUCGACAAAAACCUUUGCAAUUAGCAAAUCGGUUGAAAUCUCCAAUUCCUCAAUUACUAUCAAUAUUAACAAGCAUCCCAAUUAGAUUAUUCUUAUUUUUUAAAACUAAUGUACAGAUUUUUUGAGAACUAAGAAACAGAAUGUCCCAAUCUGGAAUCCUAUAUGCCGGUUUUGAUCGUUUAGUGGGUACUUCGCAUUUCUAUAAAGAAUGGAACACUAUUGAAAUAAUUAUAUAUGCAUUAUUUAAAUUUCUGCAAAACAAUUAAAAUAUUUCUAAAAAUAUUCUUAUAAAUAUUAAAUUGGAUCCGACCUGGUUUACCAUUUAAUAUAAAGGAGUUAACAUAAAGAUCGUUUCGGUGAUUGUAAACUUUAUUGAAAAAACAAUAAUUAAAUCCUAAUAAUAUUUGUUCAUGUAUCUGUCGUUUUUUUUAAACACCUACUUUUUUUUAAUUUAGGUCACCUAUUUAGAAAAUCCUAAUAAAUAACCAACUGAUAUAGCAUAAAACAACCACAAAGUAACUCACAGACCACAUCAAUAAAUUUCAAACACAUAGCAAAAACAACAAAACACAAGUAAAAAAGCAUAAAUCUUAAAUUAAAACAGAGAAAGCCAAAGACAAUGUUGAAGCAAAGAUUCAUACCUGAAAUCAGCCUCCGAUGAAGCAGGGGUUACAAAAAUCGCAACAAAGAAAUGGCAGAGAAAUAAACCCACUGAAAUAUAAGUAAAAAAAAAAUUGAUCUGAAACCAAAACAGAAAUGAAAAGGCAAAGACAGACAAAGUUCAAGAUUCAUACCUCAAAAUCAGUCUCCGAUGAAGCAGGGGAUUUCAAAAACCACAAAAAACAGAGUGUACCGUGUGUGUGUUUUGGCCUUUGGUUACCCAAAGCUAAAAAAUUUAGAGGAAAAAAAAUUCAAAAGAGACCGAGAGAGAGAAUAGGUAAACAAAUGGGAGGAGAUUUGGAUUGAAGAGAUAUAUUUGAGGAUUUGUUAUGAAAGCAGAAGAAAUGAGGAAGAAAAAGAAAACAAAACAGGGAGACCAUGAGAGAGAGAGAGAGAGAAACGGCUUGAUAACAAAUAAUUUUUUUGUAUGAAUGCAGGUAACUUUGCUCAACUAUACAAAUAAAUAGAUGGUGGCGAAACAAGCACAGUAUUUUUUUCUUACCACCCAACAUUCUGGAAGAGGAAGCCUUAGAAGAUACCCCUCCGUGUUAAACUGAAAAGGAAAGUUUACCGAUUAGGAUGAUGUCAAUCUUCUUAGGAACAGGACAUUGUGAUGAUGUCAAAAGAAAAAUCAAGUUACACCCUAUGCAAUAAUAAUAGAUUUCUUUUUCUUCUGAGAGUAAUAACAAUAGUUACAAAUGCAAGCAUAACUCAGAUUAAUACUGUUGAUAGUACAAUCAAUAAACACAGUGAAUACUCCACCUAUCCAAUAAUUAAAAAUAUAUAUGUGCCAUCGAAACAGUAUAAGCUCCUUUGCAACGCCAUCGAAAGAAGAUAAACAUAUGUCACAAUAGCAACCAGUAGAAAAUAACAAAUCAACAAGACAAAUGCUUAGAAAUACAACGUAACAGACGGUGAACGGAAAAAUGGAAGUGAGAAAGAACAAGUGCAUCUGCAUGUAUGUUGCAGUGGGAGGAGAAUGCACCAUGCAUCACAACAAGUAAAAGAUGAGCAAGACAUGUAGAGGUUCCAAUGCCACAACAAAAUUGGAAAGGAGACCUAAUUUUUAUCGCACUUGGCAGCAAGUUGCAAGAAGUAUGGCAUGUUUAGGUCACCCAAUCAGGAUAUGAAGGGAUAUCCCCGGAGUAGAAUAAGAAAGAAAAUUAACCCAGUAUUUAAUGGCCACAUAGGCCCAGAACAAAAAGAACAAAGCAAAAUUUUCGAAAUCACCUCUGUGUCCAUUUGCAAGUUAAUGUGAUGGUUCUAAACUUGCCACCAGAGAUAACAAAUACUCCAGAACAGCUGUAACCCUAGCCUCAUGAAAGUCUGAAUGUAAUAACCAAAAGAUACUGGAAAUCUGAUCUGCAAACAUCAACAAAUACCACUGAGAAAGCACCCAAAAGAACUCAUUACAAUAAAAAAAAAGAUUUACCUUUGCCAAGUUCGAUAAUUGAAUCCAACCAAGUGGAUCACCGUAACAAUCUAAAAUUAUUAGAGCCAAAAAGAAAUUCACCGUUUAUCUGAUGAAGCGACGUCAAUUCCUUUGUUUUUCAGCAAAUCCAAAUAAAACGAUGGAUUCCGGGAAAAUGAAACGACGACAAGGCCUCUGCCAUAUAAUAACUAAAUAAUUACCCUAAUUUCAAGUUAAUAAAUGUUAACAAAACGGUUUUCCAAAAAGAAAAUAAAAGUUUCCUGCCAAAAUGGAGGAGAAGAGCUAAGAAAGCACGUAAAACACUUGUAAGGAAAAGGGAGAAGUGACAUGACAUGACAUUUCCUGCCAAAAUGUAAUAAAGGCCGAGAAGGAUGUUGAGGCACGCCAGUGAGGCAGUGACAGAGAAGCGAAAACCUGAUUGGAAAAGUAAUGCUUGUCCCGUUAUUGAUGUCUUAAUUAAACUUGAAGUACUUACUAUUUAACUUUUUGUUUAUUUAUAAUUAAAAUGGGUAACUAAAUUGUAUCUGUUGUGGUUCAGUGGUCCCUGCCCAGAAAGUUGAGCAUAUGGAGGAGAAUUUAGAAGGUAGUGAGUGUCCUGAACCAUACUGUGGACCGUCUCCUUGUCAGGCAUCCAUAUUAAUAGAAACAGAACAACCUACUUGGCCGGUGUAGAGGAGCGUACAUCAACAACUGCAGAUACUCCAGCUACAUGUGCAGAUGUAAAAGUAAAACUUGCUACAUGUACAUUCCCUUUUAUAUUAUCAGAACUCUUUUACUAAAGUUUCAUGUAAUUACAUAAAACCGAUCAUAAUAUGGAUUUAGAAAUGGUAAAAUGCAAAUUUAAUGAUGUGAGAUGAAUGUAGUGCAGCAGAGAAUUUUGAAUAUGAACACAAUAAAAAUAUGAACACCAAGAACAAGGAUACUUAAAUAUGUCAAACAAAAACUCAAACAUGACACAGAUCUACAAAUUGCAGAAGGUAAAUUUCAUCUUCUGAGAUCACUGUAAUAAGCUUAAAUUUGAAAAAGGAUAUGAACACCAAGAACAAAAAACUAUCUAAAGCAAAACAUCAACACCCUCAACAAAUCAAAACUUAUAUAAAUCCAGUUAUUAACAUGAAUACCUCAAACGCAAUUAUGAAACAAAAACACAACACGAUCAUGAUACCUUUAAAACACAAUUAUAACAAAAACAAAUCACGACCAUAAACAGCAUGGAAAGUUGGAGAGAAAUGGAUGCCAAGGAUGUAAUAUCAAACAAAAUGAAUUUUAUAAGAUCCAAUACAAAUUUGUCAUCACACAGGUGUAAAAGAGAGAAAAAAAACUGAUCAUUUCAUCAUCCAAUUUUAAACAUUUGAGAAAGGUAUAGGUUUUCUAUCUGGUGUGAAGUUGGUGUGACUUGUUAUAAAUUUUGACAGGAAGCAAUUCCACAACUUCCUUAGGAGCGGGAACAGAUCCAAUUGAAGAUACAGAAGGUCGAGAAGAUAAAACCACAGACUGCUGGGGGAUU